ensembl:lncRNA
AUCGGAGUGAUGCUCACAAGACAUCAGACAGUCGCCUACAUCACUGCCCCUGUACAAGUCCCCGCCCACCUGGAGGCAGAGGCCCGGGACUUGGUAUGUCCCGGGUCAAUGCUAAUCAGUCUGUCGUAGCUUGGUAUCUCCCGGGAGGCCAACCUCACACAGUUGGCCUCCCUAUAAGCGCUAUGCAUAUGCGGGCCACAAGGACUGUUCAUCUGUUCUGUUUCAGCACACCACACUUAGCCAAUGGUUGUAUAACGCGUCACUACGUAGCGUUCAUAGCUAUGUUGACAAGCAAACCACACACAAAACCGCCCACAUUCCUAUGCGGAGAACAGCCCGAUCUGGCAACACAGACCUUGUCAUCAUCUCUGUAGCCGGCUGAGUCAAACACGCUAUGAUAUUUGCUUCGUUCAUCACCAGCCAAAUUGGCUGGCGACUUUACAAUCUUACACGCAAAAGUUAUUUUCUACCUGCAUCUGGUGGGUUGGCAGGUGUUAAUUUUAAGCUCUUGCUAUGAGUGACCAUUGUGACUGCGUGGUUCAGUGUGUUGGUAACUGUGCUUUGUGUGUUGGUAACUGCUUCGUGUCUUUUAAUACUCCCAAUAUCUUUCUUUUAUACAGAAGAUGCUGCUGCUACUGCUGCUGCCUCAGCACUACACUUCCAGACGGUCUGUCCAAAGGCUGCAUCCCACAUGGCCGGUGGAACUACGUGCUCUUUAGCACAGGGGUCCAGGACCUCCUUGUCCCUGUCUGGGAGGGUCCUGAACCCCACGGCCUGGACCCCCUUGGGGGAGGGGGGAAUUAAUUUGGCCUUUUCAAAUUGAAAUAAUAAAUGGAAAGGCAUGGCUUGGACAAUCUCUCCAAAGGCUAAUGCCUCCUUUGCUGUCAUUUAAUAACUGGAGGAGAGACCCUAGCUGCUCCUUCUGGCCCGCAUAUGCAUGGCGCUUAUAGGGAGGCCAACCUCUAGCUCUGUGAGGUUGGCCUCCCGGGAGAUACCAAGGCCCGGGUCUCUGCCUCCAGGUGGGGGCGGGGACUUGUACAGGGUCAGUGAUGCAUG